AUGUAAUCACAGAACCGGUUUUCAUUUUCGAUCUGACUUAUUUUUUCCACAAACGAGUGAGAUCACUUUGAAAGCUGAUUUUGUACAAUUAAUUCGA
rnacentral:pre_miRNA from 1 species